AAGAAAAUUUUAAUCAAUAAAGGCGAGGGAACUUUAUGAAAACAACUUAACUUAUAAAUAUAGUCCAACAAUCGUUCGCAGCUUCAAACUGAGUCUUCGAACCUGUGUCACUGAAAGGGUGGAAGAUUUUGGAGCGAGAACAAA